rnacentral:pre_miRNA from 1 species
GUGACUUGUAAAUCAUGCAAGUAUAUGGUUUGGUACAGUCAUGUAAUAAAAAAUCGCGAGAUAUGCGGUUUAAGAUCGGCAUUCUCGCGACUGUACCAAACCAUAUACUUGCAUGAUUUACA